rnacentral:rRNA from 1 species
AGAAUCAACGCUGGCGGCGUGCCUAACACAUGCAAGUCGAACGGGAAAGUGGAGCAAUCCAUGAGUAUAGUGGCGACCGGGUGAGUAACACGUGACUAACCUACCCUUGAGUGGGGGAUAACCUCGGGAAACCGGGGCUAAUACCGCAUAAAAUCUUCGGGAUGAGAAGCUGGAGAUCAAAGGAGCAAUUCGCUUUUGGAGGGGGUCGCGGCUGAUUAGCUAGUUGGCGGGGUAACGGCCCACCAAGGCUUUGAUCGGUAUCCGGCCUGAGAGGGCGCACGGACACACUGGAACUGAAACACGGUCCAGACUCCUACGGGAGGCAGCAGUGGGGAAUUUUGCGCAAUGGGGGAAACCCUGACGCAGCAACGCCGCGUGGAGGAUGAAGUCCCUUGGGACGUAAACUCCUUUCGACCGGGAAGAUGAUGACGGUACCGGUGGAAGAAGCCCGGCUAACUCGCGCCAGCAGCCGC